CCCGAAUUUCGCUUUACAAUAUUACGCAAAAAAGUGCGGCCCGCGUGUUAAAAAAAAAAAUCCCAACCCUAGCUGUGAAUUUGUAGCGAAUGAAUUUUAAUUCUUAGCGUAUUGCGUUAACACAUAGAUUAAUUAUUAACAAAGUACGAAUUAUGACGUUCUUUAGAAUAAUUGACGUUAUUUAUUUCAAAAAUAUUAUUUCCCAACGUGUUUUACGGUAUAUUUUUUAAUAAUACUUUUUGUUUGCUAUGUUUGUCCAAAAUGGUAAUGCAAAUGCACACCAUUUCACUGCAGUGUUUAGUCUAGAAUUUAAUUUUUUUUUUUUAUUAUUUUUAAUUAGUGAAAUUCGUGAGCUGCAUUUUUUGAGAAGAUUUCAAAUUUUAUAUACUAAAG